rnacentral:rRNA from 1 species
GGAUUAUUGGACAAUGGAGGGGAACCCUGAUCCAGCACAUGCCGCGUGUGUGAAGAAGGCCUUAUGCUUGUAAAGCUCUGUAAGCGAGGAGGAGGCUAUCUGUAGUUAAUACCUACAGGGAGUGGACGUUACUCGCAGAAUAAGCACCGGCUAACUCUGUGCCAGCAGCCGCGGUAAUACAGAGGGCCGAGCGUUAAUGGGAUUUACUGGGCGUAAAGAUGGCUAGGGGGCUUUUUAAUUCGGAUGUGAAAUCCCCGAUCAAACUUGGAAAUGCCAUUGAAUACUGGGAAGCUAGAGUAUGGGAGAGGCAGGUAGAAUUCCAGGUGUAGGGGUGAAAUGGGUAGAGAUUGGGAGGAAUACAGAUGGGGAAGGCAGCCAUUGGUCUUAAUACUGACGUGAGGCUAGGAAAGCAUGGGGAGCAACCAGGAUUAGAUACCCUGGUAGUCCAUGCCGUAAACGAUGUUUACUAGCCGUUGGGGCCUUUGAGGCUUCAGUGGCGCAGCUAACGCGAUAAGUAGACCGCCUGGGGAGUACGGUCGCAAGACUAAAACUCAAAUGAAUUGACGGGGGCCCGCACAAGUUACGGGACCAUCAGUUGAAAAGAUGCAACACGAAGACCAUAC